rnacentral:rRNA from 1 species
GACGAACGCUGGCGGCGUGCUUAACACAUGCAAGUCGAACGGUGAAGGGAUCAGCUUGCUGGUUCUGGAUGAGUGGCGAACGGGGGAGUAACACGUGAGUAACCUGCCCCCUUCUUCUGGAUAACCGCAUGAAAGUGUGGCUAAUACGGGAUAUUCUGGGUCUGUCGCAUGAUGGGUCUGGGAAAGAUAUUGUUUCGGUGGGGGAUGGGCUCGCGGCCUAUCAGCUUGUUGGUGGGGUGAUGGCCUACCAAGGCGGUGACGGGUAGCCGGCCUGAGAGGGUGGACGGUCACACUGGGACUGAGACACGGCCCAGACUCCUACGGGAGGCAGCAGUGGGGAAUAUUGCACAAUGGGCGCAAGCCUGAUGCAGCGACGCCGCGUGAGGGAUGGAGGCCUUCGGGGUGUAAACCUCUUUCGCCAGUGAAGCAGGCCUGCUCCUUGUGGGUGGGUUGACGGUAGCUGGAUAAGAAGCGCCGGCUAACUACGUG